GACGAACGCUGGCGGCGUGCUUAACACAUGCAAGUCGAACGAAGUGGCGAACGGGUGAGUAAUACGGGGGUAACCUGCCCUCCUUUUUGGGAUAAGCCUUGGAAACGGGGUCUAAUACCUAAUAAAGGGGGAUGGGCUCGGGGCCUAUCAGCUUGUUGGUGGGGUGAUGGCGUACCAAGGCGGUGACGGGUAGCCGGCCUGACAGGGUGAACUGCGAAAUUGGGAGUGGGAUACACCCCAGACUGCUACGGGAGGCAGCAGUCGGCGGUAAUGCACAAAGGGCUAAAGCCUGAAGCAGCGACGACGGGUGGGGGAUGAAGGAUUUCGGGUUGUAAACCUCUUUCGCGAUCGAAAGGGUAGGUGGAGAAGAAGCGCCGGCUAACUACGUGCCAGCAGCCGCGGUAAUUC
rnacentral:rRNA from 1 species